AUUUAAGAACCAAAUGGCCGUAUCUCUUCACACAAAGGCAUAUAUAUGGCCAUUUUGAGAUGCUUACUGACAAAAAAGUGCUCCGACUUUUGUAAUUGUCUAUUCAGGAGGGUGGACCAAAAAUGUUCCAGUUUUUUUUAAAGACAAACCAACUGAGGAAGUUCGGAAUACACUCUCCAGUGGUGAAAAUGUCACUGCUAUGGUCCUACAACUACUACUUGCACACUUCAAAGAGAAAUUAGAUGGUCUUAUCCUUCAGACAGAUGAAUUCGCAGCACCUUCAGAUGUCCAGCAAUCUGUACCUUUGCCAGAGAGUCCACGCCUUAUAAUUCUUGGUCAGUCUCUAAGCAACCAGCGGUGGAUGUUGAGCGUGGAAGGGUAGGUUGUGUGUGAAGGAGAGCAGCCCAACAUUGUAUCUGGUCUUGCAGCACUGUUUGCCUCAUUCUACAAUUUUAACCUCCAGUAUCAGGAAGAGGCAGCAUGCACCUUGAGUUUUGUUCAGAGACGCUUUCUCGACAUCAACCCGGAACGUGGAUCAGAAACCAAGAAAGGGAAGGUGACUUCAAAGAAGACUGGCCAAGUUGUGCAAAAAAAGAACACUACUGUGA